UGGGAACGGAAGUGAUGUCCAGCCC
rnacentral:piRNA from 1 species